AGAGUUUGAUCAUGGCUCAGGAUGAACGCUAGCGGGAGGCCUAACACAUGCAAGCCGAGCGGUAGAGAUUCUUCGGAAUCUUGAGAGCGGCGUACGGGUGCGGAACACGUGUGCAACCUACCUUUAUCUGGAGGAUAGCCUUUCGAAAGGAAGAUUAAUACUCCAUAAUAUAUUGAUUGGCAUCAAUUGAUAUUGAAAGCUCCGGCGGAUAGAGAUGGGCACGCGCAAGAUUAGUUAGUUGGUGAGGUAACGGCUCACCAAGACGAUGAUCUUUAGGGGCCUGAGAGGGUGAUCCCCCACACUGGUACUGAGACACGGACCAGACUCCUACGGGAGGCAGCAGUGAGGAAUAUUGGUCAAUGGGUGCAAGCCUGAACCAGCCAUCCCGCGUGAAGGACGACUGCCCUAUGGGUUGUAAACUUCUUUUGUAUAGGGAUAAACCUACCCUCGUGAGGGUAGCUGAAGGUAUUAUACGAAUAAGCACCGGCUAACUCCGUG
rnacentral:rRNA from 1 species